rnacentral:rRNA from 1 species
UACGGAGGGUGCAAGCGUUAAUCGGAAUUACUGGGCGUAAAGCGCACGUAGGUGGUUUGUUAAGCCAGCUGUGAAAUCCCCGGGCUCAACCUGGGCACUGCAGUUGGAACUGGCAAGCUAGAGUAGGGUAGAGGGGUGUGGAAUUCCAGGUGUAGCGGUGAAAUGCGUAGAUAUCUGGAGGAACAUCAGUGGCGAAGGCGACACCCUGGACUCAUACUGACACUGAGGUGCGAAAGCGUGGGGAGCGAACAGG